rnacentral:lncRNA from 10 species
GCUCCAAGGAAGUGCCUAGAUGGGAGAAACCCACACAUCUCAUCUAGUAGAAAAAUAGUCACUGUUCCUCGCAAUGGUUAUUCAAAUACACAAUGCUUACGCUCGCCUCAGGACUUUAUCUAUGCUGUUUCCUCUGCCCAUAAGGUCCAUGCUCAAAUUCUGCACACGGAAGGCUCCUUCAUAUCACUUGCAACUAGUUUCACGUGUCCCUCCCCUCCAUUCUUUCCCUUGCCUUAUUUUUCUUACUUCUAUCUGCAUUCUCUUGUUUACCUGUUUUUGUCUGCAUCUCCCACUGGGAUAAAAGCUCCAGAAUAUCUGGCAGUAGGCACUCAGUACAAUGAAUCUCCCCAGCCUCCCCACUCUCAGCUUAGUCACCUCCCAAUAGCAUCCCUUUUCCAGCCAGACCACACUGGCUUGCCCUGAUGAGUGUUCAUGCCUUAGGUACAGCCAGAGUUUCAUCUGGAUACCCUAUGACUAUUUCUAUCACUAUAUGACAUUUUUUUUUUUUUUUUUGAGAUGGAGUCUCGCUCUGUCACCCAGGCUGGAGUGCAGUGGCACGAUCUCGGCUCACUGCAAGCUCCGCCUCCCAGGUUCACGCCAUUCUUCUGCCUCAGCCUCCAGAGUACCUGGCACUACAGGCACCCGCU